UGGUGCCUAUUCUUAACACUGGUACCAUUCUGUUCUCAUCACUGUGGCUUUAGAGUAAGUCUUUAAAUCAGGAGAAAUGGAUGACCGUUUGCCUGGGAACUGCUUUGCAACAGAUGGUCAGCUCCUCAUUAUCAACGGGAGUUAGAGAUUGUUUCUCUGGAAGUCCAUCCUUAGACAAGACAGUGGCCAGCAGGCCUUGCUGGGGGAUGUGCUUACACCUGGAUGAUUCAUGAGCAAGCCUCUGGAUCACACUGGAAACUGCAACGCCAACUCCAAGAGACCUUGCUUCAGAAACUGCUGCCAAAGGCACAUUCUCUGUUACCAUGUCAGAAAUAAUUUACCACUAGAUGAAAGAUAUCAAAGUGGUCCCAAGGCAAGGAAAGGUGUGGGAAGAGUUCAGGUGCGGAAAGCAGGGGAAGGCUGAGAAACAUAUAAUCUGUCUGAAGAGUUAAAAUAUUUAAACAGCUAUAUCAAGACUUUUGAGGAUAUUGCAAGCAUUUUCUGGAAAAUCCAAGGAACAGGGCAGUAAAGAAAUCCACUCCAGUUUCAAAUUUUUGGCAAAAUAAUUUAUUCUGUAGGAGGAUAUGGCAACUUGCAAACAUGGAAAAUGGCAAAGCUUUGCAGAAUCUCACUCUGUACCUACAGGAGAAACAGUGAUGAAGUUGGGCUGGAAGACAACUCACAGCAGACAAAGACUGUGCAGCCUCAGGGCUGCGACAUCCAGAGGAGAACCUCCAGUGAAUCACCAUAUAUCCUUGACCUGGCCAACAUUUUGAACGACAACAGAGGCCCUAGACAUGGCAGAAGGGCAUUAUCAAGAAGAUGAAUAGGCCCUGUAGGUAGGUGGUAAGAAAGUAUAAAGAGCAUCUUUCUUGUACAGGUGAGAAACCUCUCGAACCUCAGUUUUCUGAUAUACAGAAUAAGAACAAUGGGAUUUGCCUUCCUCAAGUCAAACACUAGAAAACUUAAAUGACUCAUCACUCAUGCUUUAAAUAAACUUAAAGCAUUAUUAAUAAGUCUAUAGCAUUUUGCUGAUUACCACUGGAAAUACAAAUUAUUAUCAUUCAGUGUUUUUGUCACUUAGCUUGCAAAUCUACUUGUAAUUAGUUCCCUUUAUCUCAUUUCCAAAUAAGCAUUUUGUUAAAAACCUCAACAAAUUAUGCAGACCAUAUAAAUUGGGAUAUAUGUUCCUAAAGGUAUGAAUGUAUUUAUUUCAAA